rnacentral:rRNA from 1 species
AACGCGAAGAACCUUACCUGGGCUCGAACGGCUUAAGACCAUCCUUGGAAACAGGGACUUCCCGCAAGGGACUUGAGUCGAGGUGCUGCAUGGUUGUCGUCAGCUCGUGUCGUGAGAUGUUGGGUUAAGUCCCGCAACGAGCGCAACCCCUACUCGAUGUUGCUAAUCCCGCAAGGGAUGCACUCUUCGAGAACUGCCUUCGAUAAGAAGGAGGAAGGUGGGGACGACGUCAAAUCCUCAUGGCCCUUAUGUCCAGGGCUACACACGUGCUACAAUGGCCGGUACAACGGGAAGCAAUACCGUAAGGUGGAGCCAAACCCUGAAAGCCGGCCCCAGUUCAGAUUGUGGGCUGCAACUCGCCCACAUGAAGGCGGAAUCGCUAGUAAUCGCGAAUCAGCAGGUCGCGGUGAAUACGUUCCCGGGCCUUGUACACACCGAGACGUA